rnacentral:rRNA from 1 species
GAGUAACACGUGAGAACCUGCCCUUAACUCUGGGAUAAGCCUGGGAAACUGGGUCUAAUACCGGAUAUGACUCCUCAUCGCAUGGUGGGGGGUGGAAAGCUUUUUGUGGUUUUGGAUGGACUCGCGGCCUAUCAGCUUGUUGGUGAGGUAAUGGCUCACCAAAGCGACGACGGGUAGCCGGCCUGAGAGGGUGACCGGCCACACUGGGACUGAGACACGGCCCAG